rnacentral:rRNA from 1 species
UGGGGAAUCUUGCGCAAUGGGCGAAAGCCUGACGCAGCAACGCCGCGUGAGCGAAGAAGGCCUUCGGGUUGUAAAGCUCUGUCAGGGGGAAAGAAGGCACCUGGGUUAAUAGCCCAAGGGUUGACGGUACCCCCAAAGGAAGCCACGGCUAACUACGUGCCAGCAGCCGCGGUAAUACGUAGGUGGCAAGCGUUGUCCGGAAUCAUUGGGCGUAAAGCGCGCGUAGGUGGCUUGUCAGGUCUGAUGUGAAAUUUCGGGGCUCAACCCCGACCCUGCAUCGGAAACCGGCUUGCUAGAGUCUGGGAGAGGAGAGUGGAAUUCCUGGUGUAGCGGUGAAAUGCGUAGAUAUCAGGAGGAACACCGGUAGCGAAGGCGGCUCUCUGGAACAGUACUGACGCUGAGGCGCGAAAGCUAGGGGAGCGAACAG